UCAGUAUUACUGCUACUGAGCGCUGAUUGGUCAGUAUUACGGCUACUGAGCGCUGAUUGGUCAGUAUUAGAGCUGAAAGCGGCGCUGUCUCGUGUCCGCGCUCGCCGUUGUUUUUGUCAGCGCUUAGCGAAGUCGCUGUAGCUGUUUAAUCGGGACGUGCAGGUGUAGUUUUUCUCCUCGCAGCGCCCGCGCUGUCAGCGCCUCGGCCCCGCCGCUCACCGUCGGGGUGGGUCGCUGUGAGCGGAGGGAAGAGCCCCGGCUGCAGCGCUGAGAGGGGACUGUGGAGAGCAUCCUGAGCAGCUGCAUCAUCGCCUGGUUUGGGAAUUGCACCGCAAAUUUGGGAGGUGUGAGCAGAGCGGCUAGAUCUUAUGAAGCUCGGUGAAAGACAGAGAACAACAGGAGCUCAACGGGUUCUUUAAUAACUGAGGUUCUUGUUAUAUGAAUAGAGCUCAGUAACUAUGUAACACGGUAAUAACGGACGUUAAGUAGUGAGUGUUAUAACUGUUCUAUAGAGAUACAGCCUUCAGUUCUGCCUCAUGUGGUCUGCUAUUUCUCUAGAAAGCAGUCUUUCCCUCCAAGCCAUUCUGAAUGACUCUGUUUACAUCCAUUAAUUUACCCAGAAAUUUGGAAUUUCUGAAAUUCCCCAAAAUGCCAUAAACAUUUGACAGCUGUCGUAAAUAAUCCUAUCAUAAAGUGUUGGUAACCUCUAUUUUUGCAUGAAGUGUGAUGAGCUGUUUAUAUGCAAUAAGAAAACAGCACUUCGUUCAUUUAACUUCGUUUUAUUCCAUAUGAACACAGACUCUUCACUUUAAGAUACAGGAGGUUUACUUGACAAAUAAUGCAGGCAGUGCAAACGUAAGAGCUGCACGGACGCUGUUAUUUAUCCAUGA